rnacentral:rRNA from 1 species
AACGAGCGCAACCCUUGAUCUUAGUUGCCAUCAUUAAGUUGGGCACUCUAAGGUGACUGCCGGUGACAAACCGGAGGAAGGUGGGGAUGACGUCAAAUCAUCAUGCCCCUUAUGACCUGGGCUACACACGUGCUACAAUGGACGGUACAAAGAGCUGCAAGACCGCGAGGUGGAGCUAAUCUCAUAAAACCGUUCUCAGUUCGGAUUGUAGGCUGCAAACUCGCCUACAUGAAGCUGGAAUCGCUAGUAAUCGCGGAUCAGCAUGCCGCGGUGAAUACGUUCCCGGGCCUUGUACACACCGCCCGUCACACCACGAGAGUUUGUAACACCCGAAGUCGGUGGGGUAACCUUUUUGGAGCCAGCCGCCUAAGGUGGGACAGAUGAUUGGGGUGAAGUCGUAACAAGGUAGCCAANUAUCGGANGGUGCGGCUGGAUCACCUCCUUAAUCU